CCUACGGGAGGCAGCAGUGGGGAAUAUUGCACAAUGGGGGAAACCCUGAUGCAGCGACGCCGCGUGAGUGAAGAAGGAAUUCGGUAUGUAAAGCUCUAUCAGCAGGGAAGAAAAUGACGGUACCUGAGUAAGAAGCCCCGGCUAACUACGUGCCAGCAGCCGCGGUAAUACGUAGGGGGCAAGCGUUAUCCGGAUUUACUGGGUGUAAAGGGAGCGUAGACGGCAGUGCAAGUCUGGAGUGAAAGGCGGGGGCUCAACCCCCGGACUGCUCUUGAAACUGUACGGCUGGAGUGCAGGAGAGGUAAGUGGAAUUCCUAGUGUAGCGGUGAAAUGCGUAGAUAUUAGGAGGAACACCAGUGGCGAAGGCGGCUUACUGGACUGUAACUGACGUUGAGGCUCGAAAGCGUGGGGAGCAAACAGGAUUAGAUACCCGAGUAGUC
rnacentral:rRNA from 1 species